UACGAAGGGGGCUAGCGUUGCUCGGAAUCACUGGGCGUAAAGGGUGCGUAGGCGGGUCUUUAAGUCAGGGGUGAAAUCCUGGAGCUCAACUCCAGAACUGCCUUUGAUACUGGCGAUCUUGAGUCCGGGAGAGGUGAGUGGAACUCCGAGUGUAGAGGUGAAAUUCGUAGAUAUUCGGAAGAACACCAGUGGCGAAGGCGGAUCUCUGGGCCUUACCUGACGCUGAGGCGCGAAAGCUAGGGGAGCAAACAGG
rnacentral:rRNA from 1 species